UACGUAGGGGGCAAGCGUUGUCCGGAAUCAUUGGGCGUAAAGAGCGCGUAGGCGGCCCAGUCAGUCCGCUCUGAAAGUCAGGGGCUCAACCCCUGAAUGCGGGUGGAUACUGCUGGGCUAGAGUCCGGAAGAGGAGAGUGGAAUUCCUGGUGUAGCGGUGAAAUGCGCAGAUAUCAGGAAGAACACCCGUGGCGAAGGCGGCUCUCUGGGACGGUACUGACGCUGAGACGCGAAAGCGUGGGGAGCAAACAGG
rnacentral:rRNA from 1 species